rnacentral:rRNA from 1 species
GAUGAACGCUGGCGGCGUGCCUAAUACAUGCAAGUCGAGCGAACAGACGAGGAGCUUGCUCCUCUGACGUUAGCGGCGGACGGGUGAGUAACACGUGGAUAACCUACCUAUAAGACUGGGAUAACUUCGGGAAACCGGAGCUAAUACCGGAUAAUAUAUUGAACCGCAUGGUUCAAUAGUUAAAGACGGUUUUGCUGUCACUUAUAGAUGGAUCCGCGCCGCAUUAGCUAGUUGGUAAGGUAACGGCUUACCAAGGCAACGAUGCGUAGCCGACCUGAGAGGGUGAUCGGCCACACUGGAAGUGAGACACGGUCCAGACUCCUACGGGAGGAAGCAGUAGAGAAUCUUCCGCAAUGGGCGAAAGCCUGACGGAGCAACGCCGCGUGAGUGAUGAAGGUCUUCGGAUCGUAAAACUCUGUUAUUAGGGAAGGACAAAUGUGUAAGUAACUAUGCACGUCUUGACGGUACCUAAUCAGAAAGCCACGGCUAACUACGUG